rnacentral:pre_miRNA from 1 species
UUAACUCAAAUUUGUAUGCAGUUGGAACAUUUGCCUACGUUUGCCGCUAGGGGCGCUGUUCCAACUGCAUACAAAUUUGAGUUA